GGAAGAGUGGCCGAGCGGUUGAAGGCACCGGUCUUGAAAACCGGCAAUGGGCAACCAUUCGUGGGUUCGAAUCCCACCUCUUCCG
rnacentral:tRNA from 2 species